ensembl:lncRNA LINC02046 long intergenic non-protein coding RNA 2046
GCCCGCGCCUCUCCCGCCACACCUCCCUGCAAGCUGAGGGAGCCGGCUCCUGCCUUGGCCAGGCUAGAAAGGGGCUCCCACAGUGCAGGGGCGGGCUGAAGGGCUCCUCAAGUGCCACCAAAGUGGGAGCCCAGGCAGAGGAGGUGCCGAGAGCGAGCGAGGGCUGCGAGGACUGCCAGCAGCUGUCACCUCUCGUUACCAUCACUCCUAGUGACCAUUUCGGAUAAUCCACCUUGCCUCAUCAAACCAGAAAACAAUUCAAACCUGGCCUCCUUCUAACUGGAAGCCACAUUUUAAGAACUUAUUGUGAAGAACUGGAAAGCCUCCAAUAGAACAGAAGCUAAAAGCAGAAAUUAUAAAAGCUGUUACACCUACUCAGCUCUAUUACAUGUUGGAAAAACUGAACCAGAGAAACAAUUACAUACACUCUUGUCUUCUGGAAAAGCUGAAUUGGGUUUUGGUCUGAAUCAAUAGGAAACAGAAAAAAAAAAGAGAGAGAGACAGAGAGUAAAGAUAAUGGGACCCAUUAUACAGGCUGCCUUUCCAGCUCUCCAAUCAUACUUCCAAGAAAACUGCUCACUCUCAGAACCAAGGUUCAAGUUGUACAUUGGGAUUUGGGUAGAGGUAAGAGGAAACACCCUCAAAUAGAUUUGGAUCAUUCCAGAUGUCCUAUAAAUGAAGUUUGACAUUUGCUCAAGUAUCACCACCUCACUGUAAAAGCAACGAAUCUACCUUCAUUGUGAAAAUUUGGGGACUAGAAUUAAUGAGUACAGUAACCUUAUGGAUAGAACCUUCAGAGUUUUUCAUUAUCUAUGUGAAGAGAUAAUUCUAAAUUAUUUGAGAUCUAGUAUCUGUCAGCUUGGGGACUGGUGUCUAGUCCCAAGACUAGACAAAGGAAACCCUUAUUAGUAUUUUUAUUUUCCAUUUCAAAUAAAAAGGGUAUGUGUUAAAAAAAA